rfam:Zea mays cultivar B73 chromosome 6, whole genome shotgun sequence.
ACUCUAGUAUUGACCCCAAUACACAUGGGUUGAGGAGGAUUGGGUGUAAAUUAAACUAAUUUACAUCUCAAUCCACCUCAACUCAUGUGUAUUGGGGUCAAUACUAGA